ACGCUCGACACCUACGGGGGGCAGCAGUGAGGAAUAUUGGUCAAUGGACGCAAGUCUGAACCAGCCAUGCCGCGUGCAGGAUGACGGCUCUAUGAGUUGUAAACUGCUUUUGUACGAGGGUAAACGCAGAUACGUGUAUCUGUCUGAAAGUAUCGUACGAAUAAGGAUCGGCUAACUCCGUACCAGCAGCCGCGGUAAUCUGAGCGGGCUGGCAAGGC
rnacentral:rRNA from 1 species